UACAGAGGUCUCAAGCGUUGUUCGGAUUCAUUGGGCGUAAAGGGCGCGUAGGCUGCGGGGCAAGUCGGGUGUGAAAUCUCAGAGCUCAACUCUGAAACUGCACUCGAUACUGCUUUGCUUGAGGACUGGAGAGGAGAUUGGAAUUCCUGGUGUAGCGGUGAAAUGCGCAGAUAUCAGGAAGAACACCCGUGGCGAAGGCGGCUCUCUGGGACGGUACUGACGCCGAGACGCGAAAGCGUGGGGAGCGAACAGG
rnacentral:rRNA from 1 species